GUGCUUCCUUCGGCAGCACAUUUACUAAAAUUGGAACGAUACAGAGAAGAUUAGCAUGGCCCCUGCACAAGGAUGACACGCAAAUUCGUGAGGUGUUCCAUAAAAAA
rnacentral:snRNA from 1 species